rnacentral:rRNA from 1 species
CUACGUAGGGUGCAAGCGUUAAUCGGAAUUACUGGGCGUAAAGCGUGCGCAGGCGGUUAUGUAAGACAGGUGUGAAAUCCCCGGGCUUAACCUGGGAACUGCAUUUGUGACUGCAUAGCUAGAGUACGGCAGAGGGGGGAUGGAAUUCCGCGUGUAGCAGUGAAAUGCGUAGAUAUGCGGAGGAACACCGAUGGCGAAGGCAAUCCCCCUGGGCCUGUACUGACGCUCAUGCACGAAAGCGUGGGGAGCAAACAGG